GCCAAUGUAGCUCAGAUUGGUUAGAGCAUUCGCCUUGUAAGCGAAAGGUCGAGGGUUCAAAUCCCUCUAUUGGCU
rnacentral:tRNA from 1 species